rnacentral:rRNA from 1 species
GUAGGUGGCAAGCGUUGUCCGGAAUUAUUGGGCGUAAAGCGCGCGCAGGCGGUCCUUUAAGUCUGACGUGAAAGCCCACGGCUCAACCGUGGAGGGUCAUUGGAAACUGGGGGACUUGAGUACAGAAGAGGAAAGCGGAAUUCCAAGUGUAGCGGUGAAAUGCGUAGAGAUUUGGAGGAACACCAGUGGCGAAGGCGGCUUUCUGGUCUGUAACUGACGCUGAGGCGCGAAAGCGUGGGGAGCAAACAGGAUUAGAUACCCUGGUAGUCCACGCCGUAAACGAUGAGUGCUAAGUGUUAGGGGGUUUCCCGCCCCCCUUAGUGCUGCAGCUAACGCAUUAAGCACUCCGCCUGGGGGAGUACGGCCGCAAGGCUG